rnacentral:lncRNA from 1 species
UUUUUUUACUUACUUUCUUGCAUCAUACUUGACAAUCCGGUUCUGUUCAAGUAAAGAAAAAAAAAUCGGUGGAGCUCACAACCAACAACAUUGAAGAGAAUGUUGCCAUGUGGCAAGAUUUUGGAGAAAUAAUAAAUAGUAAUAGAUGUGGCGUAUACAAUAUAUACAUAGUUGGCUAAAAACUAAGUGAGUGAUAUUUCAAGAAGUUUUAAGUUUGAAAUCAAAUUAUUUCAUAUCUUUAAGUUGAGUUUAA